rnacentral:sRNA from 1 species
CCCUAGCCCUGAUGGGAGUGAAAAUCCUUUCCUAGUGGUUCUGGAGCUUUGGAACCACUAGGAAAGAUUGCAACGUACAGCAGGAAUAGCU